rnacentral:lncRNA from 1 species
GAUAUUUGAUGUUUUAGUUUAUAAACUAGAUCAUGUGUUUUUUUAGGUUUACAGCGUCUUCUAUACGAUUGCUUCUUCUCUGUUGUGUUCAUCUUACUUCUACUCGCUUUGUCUCCUUUCUCGGUGAGUCUUCAUAUUUCCUAUACAUACAAUUCUUUGAUUAGUAAUUAUGGAUUUGCUUUUUUUUUUUUUUUGUAAGAUACUUCAAUUUGGCUUUUAUAUUAUUGAUUACUUGCUUAACUUGGCCAUGACGUAGUUGUUUUAUCUUUGUUUCACCACUUAAAUUUGGUGUAGUUAUGUCGAUACUUUAAUUAGCUGUUAUGUACAUGGAUAAGCCUCAACUUGGAAUUCAGGUUUGAAUAAAAAUGCGUAUAAUAAAAGCUCGUGAUUUGACUUUUCGAAGGCUGCCUUUUUCUAUUAUAAUAAAGUGCAUCAAUUGCCUUUCCCAACUAGGUUAUCAAGAGCUUGCAAGUUACUGAAAGAAGAAGCAAGAUCAUUAGCCCAAAUACUACCCCCAUCAACUACUCUGGUG